UUGAACGCUGGCGGAAUGCUUUACACAUGCAAGUCGAACGGCAGCACGGGGGCAACCCUGGUGGCGAGUGGCGAACGGGUGAGUAAUACAUCGGAACGUGCCCAGUCGUGGGGGAUAACUACGCGAAAGCGUAGCUAAUACCGCAUACGAACUGAGGUUGAAAGCGGGGGACCGUAAGGCCUCGCGCGAUUGGAGCGGCCGAUGGCAGAUUAGGUAGUUGGUGGGGUAAAGGCCUACCAAGCCGACGAUCUGUAGCUGGUCUGAGAGGACGACCAGCCACACUGGGACUGAGACACGGCCCAGACUCCUACGGGAGGCAGCAGUGGGGAAUUUUGGACAAUGGGCGCAAGCCUGAUCCAGCCAUUCCGCGUGCAGGAUGAAGGCCCUCGGGUUGUAAACUGCUUUUGUACGGAACGAAACGCGCCGGGCUAAUACCCUGGCGUAAUGACGGUACCGUAAGAAUAAGCACCGGCUAACUACGU
rnacentral:rRNA from 1 species